rnacentral:rRNA from 1 species
CAGAGGUGGCGAGCGUUGUCCGGAAUUACUGGGCGUAAAGCGUGCGCAGGCGGUUUUGUAAGACUAGGCGUGAAAUCCCCGGGCUUAACCUGGGAACUGCGCUUGUGACUGCAAGGCUAGAGUACGGCAGAGGGGGUGGAAUUCCACGUGUAGCAGUGAAAUGCGUAGAGAUGUGGAGGAACACCAAUGGCGAAGGCAGCCCCCUGGGUCGAUACUGACGCUCAUGCACGAAAGCGUGGGUAGCAAACAGGAUUAGAUACCCUGGUAGUCCACGCCCUAAACGAUGUCAACUAGGUGUUGGGUGGGUAAAACCAUUUAGUACCGGAGCUAACGCGUGAAGUUGACCGCCUGGGGAGUACGGCCGCAAGGUUA